rnacentral:rRNA from 1 species
AAUCAACGCUGGCGGCGUGCCUCAGACAUGCAAGUCGAACGAGAAAGUUCCCUUCGGGGAGCGAGUAAAGUGGCGCACGGGUGAGUAACACGUAGGUAAUCUACCUUCGGGUGGGGAAUAACCCAGGGAAACUUGGGCUAACACCGCAUAAUGCAGCGGCACCACAUGGUGACAGUUGUUAAAGCGGGGGAUUUUAGGACCUCGCGCCUGAAGAGGAGCCUGCGGCGGAUUAGCUUGNGGUAAGGUAACGGCUUACCAAGGCGACGAUCCGUAGCCGGCCUGAGAGGGCGGUCGGCCACACUGACACUGACAUACGGGUCAGACUCCUACGGGAGGCAGCAGUCGGGAAUUUUGGGCAAUGGGCGAAAGCCUGACCCAGCAACGCCGCGUGAAGGAUGAAAUCCCUCGGGAUGUAAACUUCGCAAGAAUGGGAAGAAUUAGUAGGGUUAAUACCCCCUAUGAUGACGGUACCAUUUGUAAGCUCCGGCUAACUCCGUGCCAGCCCG